rfam:Fukomys damarensis contig90522, whole genome shotgun sequence.
GGAUGUGAGGGCAAUCUGGCUGCGACAUCUGUCACCCCAUUGAUCGCCAGGGCUGAUUCCGCUGAUCUGGCCACCUAGGCGGGUGUUCUCUUCCUCUCUCACCGCUCCAUGUGCCUCCCUCCCGAAGCUGCGCGCUGGGUCAGAGUGGACGACCACCCCCGACGGAGGCGUCAAAGGUAUACAGUAGCUGCCCUACAGGGCUAAAACCUCCAAAUGCUUAAUAUAGACUCCAUUUGUUCACUAAAACAAAAGUUUCCCCUGAAAACAGCAUGUUAUGCAGUUAUUGCUCAGCUUUUAGACACAAAUGCUCUAGAAGGGAUGGUACCUGUUAGC